UACAGAGGUCCCAAGCGUUGUUCGGAUUCACUGGGCGUAAAGGGUGCGUAGGCGGUUGGGUAAGUCUGAUGUGAAAUCUCACAGCUUAACUGUGAAACUGCAUUGGAUACUAUCCGGCUAGAGGAAUGGAGGGGAGACUGGAAUACUUGGUGUAGCAAGUGAAAUGCGUAGAUAUCAAGUGGAACACCAGUGGCGAAGGCGAGUCUCUGGACAUUUCCUGACGCUGAGGCACGAAAGCCAGGGGAGCAAACGGG
rnacentral:rRNA from 1 species